GAAAUGCGAUACGUAGUGUGAAUUGCAGAAUUCUGUGAAUCAUCGAAACCUUGAACGCAAAUUGCGCCCUUUGGUUCUCCAGAGGGCACGCCUGUUUGAGUGUUGGCUUUAUCAUUCUCUCCAAAUACAAAUUGGAGGAGCUGGGCUGUCAGACGAGUAAUUUUACCUGUCUGUCGCUUCAAAUGAAGAGAAAGAUGGUGUGUUGAAUGUACUUUAGCAUCAAACAUAUCAUCAUGUAGUUGGCUGGUGACUUUGUGCUCCUUCACUACAUGAUUUUUAUGCGCUAUUGUGAUUACAAUACCCUUCUUCAAAGGACAAAGAAUGCAUGGUUGGAGCAAUCUAACCCUGCUUCUUAUCAUUUGCUCUUCAACCUCAAAUCAGGCGAGGCUACCCGCUGAAU
rnacentral:misc_RNA from 1 species